rnacentral:misc_RNA from 1 species
UCUCCGUUGGUGAACCAGCGGAGGGAUCAUUACAGGAUCGAAAGGCUCCUAUAACCCCUGUGAACUUACUACAAAUACGUUGCUUCGGCGGGUGCCCCGGGUCUCCCGGGGCGUUCAGCCCGCCGGCAGCCUUCAAAUUCUGUUUCUUUGCGUUGGCAUCUCGAGUAUACAAAAAUAAGUUAAAACUUUCAACAACGGAUCUCUUGGUUCUG